UCAUAACCGAUGAUACACGAAUUUAGAAUCAUCUCUUGCUCGAUUCCUUAGUCCGAGGAUUCGAUGGCGGGCUGCGCGGAAGAAGGGGGCUGUUCCAGCGACUACAUUGCCGUCGCCAUUUCUGUUCUGUCCUUGAUCUUGCUUCUUUACCGAUCGAUCCUUCCCUUUGUGAUUCACAAAUUUUCUCGGACAAAAGGGAGCGGCUUCUGGAUUCCUGUGUUUCAAGUCUUUGCCAGCUUUAACCUUGUACCAUCAAUUAUGAUGUCCGUUGACUUGCUGAAAUAAAAAGGAGGCAUUGGUGGCAGUCUUGCUACAUUUGGGCAGUUUGGAUUGAAGGUCCAGUUGGAUUUGGUUUACUGCUCAGCUGUCGUAUAGUACAGGCAUUCCAAUUGUAUUUCAUAUUUGGCAAGAGGCGUUUACCAACAAUGAGGUCGCAUGUCUGUCUUCCAUUGUUUCUCUUGCCAUGGUUUGCUGGGGCAGCCUGUAAGAACUCUGAAGUUUUUACUUAUUUAGUAUCUUUCAUCCAUUGUUAUUUGCAAAUGAAAGACAGAAAACCUUUUUGCCGGUAUACGGUUGAUAGUCUAUUAGGAUUGUUGGCACUCAUAGGCGCCUUAUGAUAUACUUUCGUGGGUGAAAAGGUUGAUAAUCCAUUCCUUUGUCUGUGGGAAAUUAGAAGAAAAUAGGAGCUUUAGGUGUUAAUAUAUCCAAUUGAGGUCGCCCUUCAUUAGGGUGAAUAAAAAGAGAACUUUUGUGCUUGCAUAGGCAAUGAGGAAAGCUGCCUCAGUAGACGUGUUUGCAUUUUUUAGUGGAAUUAUUUUCUGCCGUGUGCUUGUGGGUGGGGUUGUGUUUGUCCUGAGCAUUGGAGGAUGGUUAGUUUACACCUUUUACUGGAAGUCACCGUGGAAUGGCAUGUUUCUAGAAAGGCAUAACAAGAAUCUUGUUUCCAUCUUCGCUUGGGUCAUUAUUCUUGUUCUGUCUUACUACGAAAUUUUGCAACAGAAUCGUCUACUGUCAAGCACUAUAAGAAAUUGCAAGUAUACGAGGCACAUGGGCAGUGAUAGAGUUUCAGUCUAGACAUUUGCAUAGCUUUGACAGGAAUGCUUGUGUCAUGCUGUAGUUGUUCAUAUGAAGCAGCCUCUGAAUAAUCAUUGUCACAUGGGUGCUCAAUGGGUUAUCCCAGUAGUCUCCUUCCACACGUUGUAUGUCGCCACUCUUGUUGCAUUCACGGGAGCAAUUCGCCAUAUAGAAUUCAGAUUUAAUGAACUCCGAGAUCUCUGGAGAGGAAUAGUUGUCUCUGCGUCUUCUAUUGGUAAGAUCCUUCAGCAUAGUAUCUCAAAAGAUAAUUUGUCUUUGCCUAGUCCGUUGAUUAUAUUCAUGUACUUGUA